GUGAUUGAUGUCAUGUACGGGCUUCAUCAUGACGUCUUCUAUCGUCGCUAGACUAUCGUGGCUUGAAAAAUACUGGCUGUAAAGUAUCUCCCACGCGAAGAGCAGCAGCUGAUGCUCCGAAGGCUUAAGAAGGGCGCUGCUCAUACUGAAGAGUGGGAAGCUAAACUCUUGAUCAGAGCGAUGGGUUGUAUCAUCUUGGUGGAUGCUGGAAUCAGAUUAUCAAAGACAAACACGCUGCGAUAGAGAGACAUCUGCCUGUUUGAACUGCUGAAGGAGAAGAGGCUCACCAUGUAUGUCCAUAUUAUCCAUGAUCCUGCAAAGAAAAUGAAGCGCAGUUGAUCGGGGUAGGCAUGAACCCUGUAGUAAAUCAGUAAUGCUUUUGUGAUGCAACUUGUCAUCCUUGUGGUUCUUCUCUCUUGCAACCUUUGGCAAGGAACUUGUGUCCCUGACCCUAUUAUUUUGAACUUUCUAAUCACUCCCGGACCAUGCUGCCACCACAAAGAUAUCUGGAAUAUCCCCCCCCCCCCAAAUGGUCAACGGUUAUUAAUAUCCUUUAUAAUUUUCAUUAAAAAUUAUGUAAAUUCUGAUUGUUAUUAAGAAUUGGUAAACUCAUUUCUUGAUGUGGUUGUAAAAAAAA